rnacentral:rRNA from 1 species
CUGGGCGUAAAGCGCACGCAGGCGGUCUGUCAAGUCGGAUGUGAAAUCCCCGGGCUCAACCUGGGAACUGCAUUCGAAACUGGCAGGCUGGAGUCUUGUAGAGGGGGGUAGAAUUCCAGGUGUAGCGGUGAAAUGCGUAGAGAUCUGGAGGAAUACCGGUGGCGAAGGCGGCCCCCUGGACAAAUACUGACGCUCAGGUGCGAAAGCGUGGGGAGCAAACAGGAUUAGAUACCCUGGUAGUCCACGCUGUAAACGAUGUCCACUUGGAGGUUGUUCCCUUGAGGAGUGGCUUCCGGAGCUAACGCGUUAAUUCGACCGCCUGGGGAGUACGGCCGCUAGGUUAAAACUCAAAGGAAUUGACGG